UUUUAGACAAGAACUAUGUGAUAAUAUUAGCAGAGCAUUUCUACAAGUAAUUGAAGGAUUUAAAUAGUUUUAUCAUACUUGCAAUGCACAAAUAAACAGGUCAAAAAAAUAAAAGGCUUGUCAUUUAACAAACACCCUAAUUCACUUCUUACUUCCUAUCAUUUAGGCUUUUAGUCUGUAGUUCAUAGGUUAGAGAUCACACUAAGUGCCCACCUUACUGCUUAUAUAUGUAAUCAAUCUCUCUUCAAAUUCUGAAGUACAAAAAAAAAAAUUCACAAAGAAAAGGAUGUAAUGUUAUGUGCUAACCUAAUUUCUCUGCGGCAGUUGGCCCAUUUUCUGUCGAGCUUUGCAACCUUUUUCUCUGGAAUCUUGAUUGCAGCCAUUUGCUCUUGGGAAGUGUCAUUGCUUACCCUGUUAGUUCUUCCUAUGAUUCUUGUCAUUGGAGCCACCUACACCAAGAAAAUGAACACUAUUUCAGCAGCUAAAAUGGUUUACCUUUCAGAAGCAACAGCCAUGGUUGAACAGGUAUUUAAGUAGUACGUCAGGCAGCACCACCAUCUCAAUUAUCUUGAGCCUAUGAUACUGAUCUAAUGUCUGAAGGAUCCUUCAUGUAUACUAUUUUCCAUUCCAUAUAUGAGAAUUGCUUAUAUUUUGCAGACCAUAUCUCAAAUCAAGACAGUAUUUUCAUUUGUUGGAGAGAGCCAUGCAAUCAAGUCUUUUUCAGAGUGCAUGGCCAAGCAGCUUACUCUCAACAAGGGGGAAGCACUGAUAAAGGGAGUUGGAACAGGAAUGUUUCAAACUGUAACAUUUGUUUCUUGGGCACUGAUCAUAUGGAUUGGAGCCAUUGUAGUCACUGUACAGAAGUCAAAUGGAGGCGAAGUCAUUGCUGCAGUUAUGAGCAUUCUCUUUGGAGCUAUGUAGGUGUUAUUUCUCCUCUUCAUAUUUCUGCCAUAGAACAGACAAUUAAGUGAAAUAUAUAUUUUCUAUAAUCAUUCCUUAUAUUAAUGCAGAUCACUCACUUAUGCUGCUCCGGACAUGCAAAUUUUCAAUCAGGCAAAAGCUGCAGGAACUGAAGUUUUCAAGGUGAUCAACAGGAAGCCACUCAUAAGACACAUAUCAACAGGAAGAACACUUAUUAAGGUUGAAGGAAACAUUGAAAUAAAAGAUGUAUACUUUGCUUACCCAUCUCGGCAGGACAAUUUGAUACUUAGAGGCCUUUCAUUGUCAAUCCCUGCUGGUAAAACCAUGGCAUUAGUUGGUAGCAGUGGGUGUGGAAAGAGCACAAUUAUUUCCCUAGUAGCAAGAUUCUAUGAUCCCUUGACAGGUAUAUCGCUCCUUCCCAUUCCAAAACACACACGCACACAAUGUGAAAUUCAGAUGCCUAUUUUGUGCAUGUGCAUCAACUUUUGAAGUUAAUAAGCAACCAAAUACAUGCUUCCAUAAAAGAAUAAAACAGUUGCAGAUUACUUAAAAUUGACUACAGUCAACUGUGUGGCUAACAAAUGAGGAAAAAUGUACAGGAGAUAUUCUCAUUGAUAACAACAACAUCAAGGAUCUCGAUUUGAGAUUUCUUCGUAGGAACAUUGGAUCAGUUUUCCAAGAACCAUCCCUUUUUGCUGGCAGUAUCAAGGAUAACUUGAAAGUAGGAAAUAUGGACGCCAGUGAUCAACAGAUGCAAGAUGCAGCAAUAGUGGCAAAUGCACACUCCUUCAUUUCACAACUUCCAAAUCAGUAUCUAACAGAGGUGAUUAACUUGAACCCAAUUUUCUCAGUAGAUCAGUCACUCUUCUGAGAGCUUAUCCAUGUUGGAAACUAAUAAUUGAAGUCAACUCAUCAAUUGGUUAGUAAACGAUUAUGACUUUGAUACUUUAAUACAUAACUAGGCAUAACAUAAGCAGCGAAAAAAUUACCUUAAACAAUGGUCAAGUUGUAGAACUGAGUGAUUAAAAAUUCUAAAAAACUCCUUAUUUGUUCAAACGCGAAGAAAAAAUUGUGGGUAUCCAAUCACAGUACGAUUACUAAGAGAUUUAUAACCAGAAAUGUUGUAUUUUUCUUCCUUCCCCUUUGCUUAAAAGUCCAACAAUGCAAACUUGUGAUGUUCAACAUAGUUCGUUCAUUGAGAAACUUCAUUAAAGUAAUGAAACCUUUCACCUAAGUUUUCGUCAGUAAGAUAGAUGAGCUUUAUUCAGCUAUGAAAGGCAAGAGAAAACACUCAAUAAAAUUUUAAAAAAAAUAAAAAAAAUAGAAAAAAAAAAGAAUGAAGAGAAAUUAAAAAAAAAAAAGAAAAAAAAGGAAAGAGCGCUCUUUGUAACAUUUAUCCACUUCCAGAUGAAAGAUCAAUUAUAUCCAUUUUGUCUUUUCAACUAAUAUGAGAUCCAGGUAGGCGAAAGAGGAGUCCAAUUAUCAGGAGGACAAAAGCAGAGAAUUGCCAUAGCAAGAGCCAUUCUUAAAAGUCCUCCCAUUCUUUUGCUUGAUGAGGCCACAAGUGCACUUGAUUCAGAAUCAGAGAAACUGGUUCAGUACGCCCUAGAUAGGGCUAUGGUAGGGAGGACAGUCAUCUUGAUUGCACAUAGGUUAUCUACCGUUGUAAACGCAGACAUGAUAGCAAUUGUGGAGAAUGGACAAGUUACAGAGACAGGAACACACAGCAGCUUGCUUGAUACCCACAAAUUCUACAACAACUUAUUUAGCUUGCAUAACAUCAGCACAAUUAGCAACUCAAGGUUCAUUGACACUUCUCUAUUCAUUCAGCAUAAUAUCCAGUAAGGAGUAAAAAGUUUUCAACUUACCUAAGUGGAUUGGUUGACAGAAAUACAGCUUCUGAAGAUCAUCCAAUUAUCAAACAACUUGCACCUAAAUAUAAUGAAAACCACAACAGACCAAGUGAUUUAAGCAUGCAUAUGAGCCAGUCUCCAAAGCAAGAGGAGCAAAAAGACAUAAGAAAGUCGGCUAUAUUCUUCAGAAUCUGGUUUGGCUUGCAAAAGAAAGAGCUUUUAAGAACUGCCAUAGGCUCCUUUGCAGCUGCUUUCUCUGGCAUUUCAAAGCCAGUUUUUGGAUUCUUCAUUAUAACAGUGGGAGUAGCAUACUACAAAAAGGAUGCAAAGCGGCAAGUUGGAUUGUAUUCAAUAAUCUUUGCUCUGAUAGGACUGCUUUCACUGUUCACUCACACCUUGCAGCACUACUUUUUCGGAGUAGUAGGAGAGAAGGCCAUGAUAAACCUCAGACAAGCAUUAUAUUCAGGUAACAAUCACUCCUACAUCCCAUCGGUAUAGUGAUGAUGUCUGAUGUUUUAUCCUUGUUUUUUGAACUAUUUUAAUCUUUAAGCCAACAACAGCAUGAACAUCAUCCAAUUGAAUGAUCAAACUAUAAGAUGAUAAGAUUACACACGACCUACAUUUGCAGGUGUACUACACAAUGAAAUAGCAUGGUUUGAGAAACCAGAGAACAGUGUUGGUUCACUUACUUCGCGGAUCAUUC
rnacentral:lncRNA from 1 species